rnacentral:rRNA from 1 species
AUGAGCCGGCAGCGACGACACACCGCCUGCACGAGCCACAUUGUCGGCCAAGGAUACCGGCGAUCAAUGGAGAUGUAUGGCGCCGUUCCCCGGCCUCGGUUCCUCCUCCUCCUGCUCCUCCUCGCCGCCGUGUUUUGGGUCUGCGUACUCUACUUCCGCCUGUCCGUGCUCAUCAGUGGCGUGGCGGUCGCGCCGAUGGAGCGCAUGGUGUCGUUUGCGGCGGGCUACGAGAGCCGAAGCGACGACGGGGACAAAGAUCCAUGCCAGGGGCGACGCGUGUAUAUCCAUGAUCUCCCGCCGCGCUUCAACGCCGACAUGCUCAGUGGCUGCGGCAGCACGGACGGCCGCUGGCCCAACAUGUGCGAGCAAGUGAGCAACGCCGGCCUCGGGGAGCCGUUAACCGAGCUGGAGGGUGAAGGCGAAGGGGAGGGAGCACUCACGGGCGCGGCCGGCUGGUACGCCACGCAGCAGUUCGCGCUGGACGCCAUCUUCCAUGGCCGCAUGCUACGGUACGACUGCCUCACCAACGACUCCUCCGCGGCGGCGGCGGUGUUCGUCCCGUUCUACGCCGGCUUCGACUUCGCGCGGCACCACUGGGGCUACGACAACGCCACGCGGGACGCCGCCUCGCUCGACCUGGAGCGCUGGCUCGUGGGCCGGCCGGAGUGGCGCAGGGCCGGCGGCCGCGACCACUUCCUAGUGGCGGGGCGCACGGCGUGGGACUUCCGGCGCCACACCUGCCCCAGCCCGACCUGGGGCACCAACCUGCUCUUCCUACCGGCCGCCAAGAACAUGACCGUGCUUGUUGUCGAGUCGUCGACCGCGCCCGGCCGCGGCAACGACAUGGCGGUGCCGUACCCCACCUACUUCCACCCACGAACAGACGCCGACGUCCUGCACUGGCAGCAGAGGAUCAAGAGCGCCGACCGCCCGUGGCUCAUGUCCUUCGUGGGCGCGCCGCGGCCGGGAGAUCCGCGGUCCAUCCGGUCGCAGAUCAUCGCCCAGUGCGGCGCGUCGUCCAAGUGCCGGCAGCUGGGCUGCGCCUCCGGCGCCAGCCAGUGCCACACCCCGGGGGACAUCAUGCGGCUGUUCCAGAGCUCCACCUUCUGCCUCCAGCCGCCGGGGGACUCGUACACGCGGCGGUCCGCGUUCGACGCCAUGGUCGCCGGGUGCGUGCCCGUCUUCUUCCACCCGGCGUCCGCGUAUCUCCAGUACCGGUGGCACCUGCCGGGGGACCACGCCACGUACUCGGUGUUCAUACCGGACGACGGCGUGCGCGCGGGGAACGUCAGCAUCGAGGACACGCUGAGAAGGAUACCCGCAACCGUGGUGCGGAGGAUGCAGGAGGAGGUCCUCAGGCUCGUGCCGAGGCUCGUGUACGCUGACCCGAGGUACUCGCUCGACACAGUCAAGGACGCAUUCGACGUCGCCGUCGAAGGUGUCCUAGAGAAGGUGGCGGAGUCGAUGCGCAAAGUCCAAACUGGUCAUCCCCGGUCGAGCUGGCUAGACAAGAUUUGGUCCGAGUAA